GGCGGUGCCUGGAGGACCCGGACGCUGAGCAGUGGGGAAGGGGAAGGAAGGGGCUGGAAGAGGGCGGAGGCCGCGGCUGGGGGGAGAGACUCCAGCGAGAUGAGAAAACUCUUCUGUAGAUGCUUGGCACAGGCUGCAAGAUAAUUGAGUAGAGUCAUCGUAACAUUUUACUUCAAGAGGGUUCUAACUGGACACAUCCCUUGACCUGCUUUAUUUUGGAGAAGUGAUCGCCUUCCUAGAGGAGCCGCUCCUGCCACUCAGCACGACCAGGCAAUGGAUGCUCGGGCCGCUGGGUACCUGGAGGGGAGGGCCCAACAGUGGAUACCAACCCGAAACAAACAUCUAUCUGCUCAUUUUACUUGAAUCACUGUCUUCAUUGGUGAAAUGAGUUACAAAUAAAAAUGUUUUUACCUUUUAUGAAAGGCAUUAAGA